UCCAUUGAACAUCAUACAAUCCAUUUUUUAUUGAUCUCUAUUGAGUUUUUAUAUCUUGGCUGACUUUGAUUAAAUGAAGUUACUUAAACAAAUUAACCUCCGAUCAUCAAUUGACAUAUUGACCUCUAGCUACCUUGGUUCUUGUUGAAUACUAUUAAUUCGAUCACCUUCUUUCUUUGUUGAAUCAUCUUUCUUCUAGCCCAAUCUUGAUCGAUG
rnacentral:lncRNA from 1 species